rnacentral:rRNA from 1 species
AUUGAACGCUGGCGGCAGGCUUAACACAUGCAAGUCGAGCGAGCGGCGGACGGGUGAGUAAUGUCUGGGAAACUGCCUGAUGGAGGGGGAUAACUACUGGAAACGGUAGCUAAUACCGCAUACCAUCAGAUGUGCCCAGAGGGGAUUAGCUAGUAGGUGGGGUAAUGGCUCACCUAGGCGACGAUCCCUAGCGGGGCUGAGAGGCGGACCAGCCACACUGGAACGUAGACACGGCCCAUACUCCUACGGGAUGCAGCAGUGGGGAAUAUUGCACAAUGGGCGCAAGCCUGAUGCAGCCAGGCCGCGGGUGUGAAGAAGGCCGUCGGGUUGUAAAGCACUUUCAGCGAGGAGGCGUUACUCGCAGAAGAAGCACCGGCUAACUCCGGGCCAGCCGCCGCGGUAAUUC